AUUGAACGCUGGCGGCAGGCCUAACACAUGCAAGUCGAGCGGAUGAAGGGAGCUUGCUCCUGGAUUCAGCGGCGGACGGGUGAGUAAUGCCUAGGAAUCUGCCUGGUAGUGGGGGAUAACGUCCGGAAACGGGCGCUAAUACCGCAUACGUCCUGAGGGAGAAAGUGAGGGAUCUUCGGACCUCACGCUAUCAGAUGAGCCUAGGUCGGAUUAGCUAGUUGGUGGGGUAAAGGCCUACCAAGGCGACGAUCCGUAACUGGUCUGAGAGGAUGAUCAGUCACACUGGAACUGAGACACGGUCCAGACUCCUACGGGAGGCAGCAGUGGGGAAUAUUGGACAAUGGGCGAAAGCCUGAUCCAGCCAUGCCGCGUGUGUGAAGAAGGUCUUCGGAUUGUAAAGCACUUUAAGUUGGGAGGAAGGGUAGUAAGUUAAUACCUUGCUGUUUUGACGUUACCAACAGAAUAAGCACCGGCUAACUUCGUG
rnacentral:rRNA from 1 species